rnacentral:rRNA from 1 species
UACGGGGGAUGCGAGCGUUAUCCGGAUUUAUUGGGUUUAAAGGGCGCGUAGGCGGGACGCCAAGUCAGCGGUAAAAGACUGCAGCUAAACUGUAGCACGCCGUUGAAACUGGCGACCUCGAGACGAGACGAGGGAGGCGGAACAAGUGAAGUAGCGGUGAAAUGCUUAGAUAUCACUUGGAACCCCGAUAGCGAAGGCAGCUUCCCAGGCUCGCUCUGACGCUGAUGCGCGAGAGCGUGGGUAGCGAACAGG